rnacentral:rRNA from 1 species
CGAACGGACCCUUCGGGGUUAGUGGCGGACGGGUGAGUAACACGUGGGAACGUGCCUUUUGGUUCGGAAUAGCUCCUGGAAACGGGUGGUAAUGCCGAAUGUGCCCUUCGGGGGAAAGAUUUAUCGCCAUUAGAGCGGCCCGCGUCUGAUUAGCUAGUUGGUGAGGUAAAGGCUCACCAAGGCGACGAUCAGUAGCUGGUCUGAGAGGAUGACCAGCCACAUUGGGACUGAGACACGGCCCAAACUCCUACGGGAGGCAGCAGUGGGGAAUCUUGCGCAAUGGGCGAAAGCCUGACGCAGCCAUGCCGCGUGAAUGAUGAAGGUCUUAGGAUUGUAAAAUUCUUUCACCGGGGACGAUAAUGACGGUACCCGGAGAAGAAGCCCCGGCUAACUUCGUGCCAGCAGCCGCGGUAAUACGAAGGGGGCUAGCGUUGCUCGGAAUUACUGGGCGUAAAGGGAGCGUAGGCGGACAUUUAAGUCAGGGGUGAAAUCCCAGAGCUCAACUCUGGAACUGCCUUUGAUACUGGAUGUCUUGAGUGUGAGAGAGGUAUGUGGAACUCCGAGUGUAGAGGUGAAAUUCGUAGAUAUUCGGAAGAACACCAGUGGCGAAGGCGACAUACUGGCUCAUUACUGACGCUGAGGCUCGAAAGCGUGGGGAGCAAACAGGAUUAGAUACCCUGGUAGUCCACGCCGUAAACGAUGAUUGCUAGUUGUCGGGAUGUUUACAUCU